AUUUGGACGUAGAGCUGCCUAUGAGCCACAAGCACGGGUUACUCCGGCUUUGCUGACAAUGCUGAUGGACUGCUGUGGAUAAAUGAUGUUCGUUCUGCACCUUGAGGGUGGGAUGCUGCCUUGCACAGGGGUCAUGUCUUCCUCCACAUCCAGUACCGAUGGGGCUGUAUGGAACACCACACCAAUGGACUGCUGUGCCAACAACAUGUUGGGUUGGAGGUAUGCAAUUGCCAUCUGGGUACAGUCCCUGUGGCCAAACCCAAUGGCGAUGUAGGACACAAGGGUGGCUGCCCAUCGCCGCUCCCUCCGGAAAGGAGCCAGACAGGAGAGAAAUCACUGCUGUCCAUGCCCCAAAAUCAAGAUGUGAAGUGGACAAGGCUCUGUUCUGCUGUUCCCUCUGCUGAGAUGUCAGAAGGACUCCCCAGGCAUCCAUCCACACUGAACACCUCCAUGAGACCUCUCUGCCCCAGGAAGCAGGAAGAUGCCUUUAUAUGUCCCCUUUUAGCAGCUGCUGCAAACUUCUUUUAUGCUAAAGCACGUGGAGCCGCGUUGAUUUAUUUAGCAGCGUCUCUGGAGGCUUCUUCAAGGUUAAGAUGUAGACAUCGCAUGUUAGGCUGGGCUGAAUGCUGGCAGGAAAAGACAUUUGGCUCUUCUAAUUGGAAAAACACGCCGCUUUUAUCACCCCGAGGCCAAGCCUCUACCACAGCCACACAGCAUAGGGGAACACAGCGGCUCAGCCCUGGGUCCCCAGAAAGGAGCACCGUCCCCUCACUGCCCUCCAGGUCAGCCCCGGUGGUGCACCCAUCCCUGCUGAGUGCUCAGCACCGGUCACGGAGCUGUCAGCCACGCUGUGCCUCAGUUUCCCCACUGCUGCUGGCUGCCAUGGGCUGCGUGCUGAGUUUCGGCGCAGUGUGUCUAAGAAGCCCCUUCCCCAUCCAUCUCGGUGUUCCCACUGCACAACACGGAGCACACCCACUGAUGAAGGCACACAGCAUCCUCAUCUGGCCGGGCUGCCUCAGCCACGUCGGUACUCAGAGCUACAGAUACAGAGGAAAAAAGCGAUUGCAAAGCAGAAAGGACCGUUUUGGGGGUACAUUUGGCAGUGAAAUCAGAGCUCGGGCUGGGAACCAGCAGGACAGCCUCCCUGCAGCCUCCCUGCGAUGCUCUCCAUGCACCGAACCCCGCACCACUCCUUCCUACACCAUCCCCCCGCUCACACCAAUGACUUUUAUUUUCGUACACGAAAAAGAAAACGCACAACGGAUUGGGAGCGUUAUUUUUCUGAACGCCACUUCGAAGAGUAAAAAUCUGAAAGCGUAAAUCCGGAGCAUCGUGGCAAAAUCCGGGCUCGGUUUAAAAACUAAAAGGGUUCUGCGAUUGUUUCUUUUCGUUUGUGAAAUAAUUCAACCCUCACCAAUAUUCCGGGCAGACGAGUGUUCGUUCGCCGUUUAAUCUCAGCGGUCGCACAACGAACCGAGAUUCCGAGGGGGUGAGAGAGUUCGGCGCAACGUAACUAUCAAAUAUCCCCCAAAGACUUAAAGCAAACCACACGUGGCUGCUUCUCUCGCUGCCCCACUGCCCGCAGCCAUCGGUGCAGGACGGAGGACCGCAGCGCUUCGCAGUGCCAUUAAGCAUUCGUUAAAACAUUUACUCGAUGGGCCGUAACAAAGCGCCGGAGCCGCGGGCGCACGCAGAGACUCCAUCGGACGGUUCUGCGGUGCAAAACCGUCGCGUUCAGAGCCGCGCAGCCCUCAGUCCCCUCUCAUCGCACCUCUCUCGGGCAGAUGCUGGAGGUGGAAGGGCUGCAGCUUACCCCGCUUUCUGCCGUCGGUUCUGGGCGUUCCGAUUUCGGGUUCCCCUCUCUCGGCCCGGAGCGCAGUGCCCGGCCCGUGGCAUCAGAGCCUGAGGGAUGGAGGGGGAAAGCAACGUGAGCCAGAAGCUCGCAGCGAGGUCUGUAAGUCCUUGUAUGGCAGAAAUAAACGUAUUACACCGUUAUUAGAGAUUUGGCGCUGGCCCUGUCGAGAAGCCCGGCUUUGGUGCUCUGCGAUUCCUCCCGAGAACAGAACUCAGCGGUUGCUCUCCGUACUCGCCGCGUUUUCUCUGGCCAAAUCCUGCC
ensembl:lncRNA